UGGGGAAUAUUGGACAAUGGGCGAAAGCCUGAUCCAGCCAUGCCGCGUGUGUGAAGAAGGUCUUCGGAUUGUAAAGCACUUUAAGUUGGGAGGAAGGGCAGUAAGCGAAUACCUUGCUGUUUUGACGUUACCGACAGAAUAAGCACCGGCUAACUCUGUGCCAGCAGCCGCGGUAAUACAGAGGGUGCAAGCGUUAAUCGGAAUUACUGGGCGUAAAGCGCGCGUAGGUGGUUCGUUAAGUUGAAUGUGAAAGCCCCGGGCUCAACCUGGGAACUGCAUCCAAAACUGGCGAGCUGGAGUAGGGCAGAGGGUGGUGGAAUUUCCUGUGUAGCGGUGACAUGCGUAGAUAUAGGAAGGCACACCAGUGGCGAAGGCGACCACCUGGGCUCAUACUGACACUGAGGUGCGAAAGCGUGGGGAGCAAACAGG
rnacentral:rRNA from 1 species